rnacentral:rRNA from 1 species
GACGAACCGUGCGAACGUUAUUCGGAAUCACUGGGCUUAAAGCGCGUGUAGGCGGACGGGGACGUCGGUCGCUGAAAUCCCCCGGCUCAACCGGGGAACGGGCGCCGAAACGCCCCGUCUCGAGGGACGUAGGGGGACCUGGAACUUCCGGUGGAGCGGUGGAAAUGCGUUGAGAUCGGAAGGAACGCCCGUGGCGAAAGCG